rnacentral:rRNA from 1 species
AGUGAACGCUGGCGGCAGGCCUAACACAUGCAAGUCGAACGGCAGCACAGUCAUAGCCUGCUCUUACGGGUGGCGAGUGGCGGACGGGUGAGGAAUACAUCGGAAUCUACUUUUUCGUGGGGGAUAACGUAGGGAAACUUACGCUAAUACCGCAUACGACCUACGGGUGAAAGCAGGGGAUCUUCGGACCUUGCGCGAUUGAAUGAGCCGAUGUCGGAUUAGCUAGUUGGCGGGGUAAAGGCCCACCAAGGCGACGAUCCGUAGCUGGUCUGAGAGGAUGAUCAGCCACACUGGAACUGAGACACGGUCCAGACUCCUACGGGAGGCAGCAGUGGGGAAUAUUGGACAAUGGGCGCAAGCCUGAUCCAGCCAUACCGCGUGGGUGAAGAAGGCCUUCGGGUUGUAAAGCGCUUUUGUUGGGAAAGAAAAGCAGCAGGUUAAUACCCCGCUGUUCUGACGGUACCCAAAGAAUAAGCACCGGCUAACUUCGUG